UUUUGACCGUGUCUCCACCAGCACAAUAACAUGAAAACUGUAACAGGACGAUAAUAACGAAAGUGACAAUUCGCAAAGUUUGGUACGGAGACCUCUUGCGUUUUGGAAAUAUGUAAACAGACGACGUCGUUUUUGUUGUCUCAGCAGCGGUUCUCCGAAAGAUUAUCGGCACUCUAUUUCUAUAACGAAUGUUUUCAGAAUGAAUUCUAGCUAGUUUAUCAUCAACAGUAUCGAUUUGGAAUGUUAGAGAAAUGUUAAUUAAUGGCUCAAUAAUUUGCAAGCAAAUCUCGUCGACUACAUUCCGUUAUUGUACGGCAAUAAUGAUCAAAAAGCGAACACAUGAAUUAAAAAGCGAUGGUAGAAGGAGGAAUGUCUUAUUGCAACUAUCAUGAGGUGUACAUGGCUGAUUACUUCCACGUUAAUUGCGUGAACUGUGAAAACCAUUCAGAAGCAGGCGAAUCGGUGAAAGAAGACAGGCGGUCAUUCUCGGAACUCUGCUUUCCUCCGUAGUGUUCGUUGGAAGGUUUCAGACCCGUAACUACUAAUUAUAAGUGGGCAUCACUGGAUAUCCUUUUAUCUGGAAAGAACUUUCCACGCUAGGAUGACACAUUAGAAAUUUAUAAAAGUUUAAGCGCCUUCGAUCCAUGAUAUCUAACAGUUAUCUUAUCGACAUCGGGAAGAGUAUCGCCAGCAAGAAGCAAGAAGGCUUCAAUGACAUGAUUUCUGCGAGUGGAGAUAUCUUAAGCAACCUUUUUACUAUUAAAUUCCAACAAUUUUAAGGUAAAAUACGUCACCAGAUUAUUUACUCGGAAGAAAAUUAUCGUGAAAUAAUGAUUUUUUAAGAAAUUUUUUUAAAAAGUCGUACUGUUUUCAA